UGGUACUUAUCUCCUUCUUUCCUCUCACAACUUCACAUUUUGCAAAAUAAAAGAAGGAAUUGUGUUCUCCCACGCACACACACAACGUCUUCACCUAGUCAUUCGACUCUCUCCAUUAUGUGAGCCUUUCGCCGUCAUUAGCUCUCCGGUGCGACGUCCUUGCUCCGUUAGCCUCUUUCCCGGAUGACCAUCUCCAUCUCCCUUCUCAACUCAUCUCCAUGGAAGUGGGAUUUAAGCAUAAAGGUCAACACCCAAAUUCACUACUUAUGAAAUUAACUGACUUGCAGCCAGAUUUUGACAACCUUAGAUAAACCAAUACCUAGUAAAAUAGGUACCAUUUGAAAGCUAAUGUCCAUACCUUUCCAACGGUAUCUUCGGAUUUUAAUUCCGACUUCAAACGAGAAAGUUAUGGUCCUCCGGAGUCACGGCGCCGAAUCUGCCAACAAAGGUUCCUGCCGGAAUUAUAGCAGGAUUUGGUAAUUGUGAUUUCAAUAGUUGUUUGAUGCCAAAAUUUGAUGUUUAAGGAUUUCAAAUCCUAUUGGUUAUAAGCUACUUGCCUAAGUCCUCUAUUUUACUGUUGGUUGUCUGAUGGAGUAAAUGAGUCAUGGUUCAUUGUAUGCUUUUGUCACAGCUUGGGUUUGUUUUUUUAAGGGCCGUGUAAUCAAGUUUAUCUUUGAUAUAUAUAAAUUAGUGUAGAGUAUCAGACAUCGUUAUAAAUUUACGAUCAUAAUUAUUUACAUCCUAACCCUCUAAGGGUAGCAAAUUGAUUACAAACCUUGUCUUAAAUUAGAAAGUAGUCUUGAGAUGAUGUGAAGUUGAAACUAAAGUUAAACCUUAAUUUAAUUUAUGGAAUGUUACAGAUAAGAUUUGGGCUUGCUAAGGUAGGGUUUUCACAUCUAAAACUUAAUGUUCUUAAUUAAGAUAAUAUUCAUUAUGAUUUGUAUGUGUUUUAAAAUAUGCUUUAUAUGUGGAAAAGUGUUUUGAUAUUGUGUGGAAAUUGUUGAUGUCCAUUAAUGUUUUGAAUUUUUUGGAAAUAAGUGUUGAAAUAUACAUGCUUUGUAUAUAAGUAAUUGUUGGGUUAGAUAAUCAUAUAUUAAAUUAUAUUGACUGGGAAUGCCUUAGAAUGUUUGUGUAUUGUUUGAUAUGAAAAAUUACGAGAGAACGUGUUUAUUCCCUAUGCUUGAGUGUGUUAUGUGAGUACAAUAUGGGUACAAUUUUGUCUGAUCUGCCGCCUAAGUGAGUGGUCUAAUUAUCUUUCUACACCCUAAACGGGUGGUCUGUGAGGAGUUAUCUCGAGGACAAAAUCUGCAUCUGCAUCUGCAUCUGAUUCUUCUGGUUCUGACUUAGUCAACGUACCCUAGUCCGUCACUAAGCACAUUAAGGGGGCUAUCAGUGAAAUUAUGUGCUAGUGUCGAUCAAAAUAUACAUGAUAUAUGUGACAAUCAGCGUAUGAUAAAAUAUAUGAGAUUAUGUGAAACAUCCGUUAUUCAGUGUGUUAUGAUAAUGUCUUAUUCAUAAAAGUGGAUCUGUUAUAUGGUUUUGGUUGAGUUUUGGUAUAAAUAUUGAAAACUUGAGACUUACUGAUAUAGUUUUUAACAUAUGUGAAAUUUCGUAUUUUACUAUACACUUCUAAUGACAUAAUUUGGAAAUUUGAAGUCGUGGAAGAAGAAUUGACUGCUGGUACGGUAUGUUGUCAUGAGUUAUUAGUUUGAAAACUUUUUGUAUGAAUAAAUAUAUAUGGAUUAACUAAUAUUUUCUUAACAAUGAAUAUUCUACUGAUCUUGUUAGAGCUUACUCCUUCAUUUAUGUCCAUGCAGAUUAGGUUUCGAGCCCACCGUAGUCAGUGUACAGAAGCUGCGUUAAUCAAGUCACUAGCUUUCUACGUAAUUUUUUUAAGCAUUGGUUUAGUGUGUUGGGUUAGGGCUCCCGACUAGUGGAAAAAAGACCCAAAUAUUAUUGGCCAAUUUAUUUACUUAAAUAGGUGAUGCACUAUUUAUUAGCACUAAAAAUACCUGUAAGCAUACAUGGUAGAUUUAGUAUAGCUAAAGGUCAGUACCGGGAUAUCGAACACAGGGAAUAAGAUUGCAACUGAUUACCAUA